GUUCUUGUAGUUGAACUACAACGGUGGUUUUUCGAGUCAUUGGUCUCGGUUGGAGUCCGAGCAAGAAUU
rnacentral:tRNA from 2 species